UCACUGUGCCUGACAGAUAGCCUUUAAAAAUGGCACAACGAGAAGAUGCUCAACAGAUGAAGCUUUCCAUCAUGGCAUUGUUACAACUAUAGGCAAAGAAGGCUUCCUAUAACUGAACCGAAUAAAACUUGGCAAUUGCUGUAAAAUGCAAGAGCAGUCGAUUUGAAGCCCUGAUGAAGAAGGCCUUCCCUGUUGUAAAGGGUCUCAACACGAUGCAGAAAUAUGGUCUGCAUGCAGGACACCAAAAAGCACUGAAACUGAUUAAGAAAAUGUUGGCCCACCCUUCUCAAUUAAGAGUUUCCAUAUGUGGGGCAGUGUAGAAACCUUCACGGAAGCAUAUAAUUAAAGUGCAACAUAUCUUGAUGAGUCUGACCAUUUCCAUUUGGCAACUUGUUCCUAACAAGAAUCUUUUUAUAGGUGUCACACCAUAGGGCUGUGUGCUUCUUCUACUAAUCCUGAAUGUUCUUAGCACACAAAAAUUUGAAUCUGAUAUGAAAUAGUUUCCUAAUACUCCCCUCACAACUUUGCAAUACGAUGAAUGAGAUCACGCACCAGAGCGAUUUUUCCAGUGUGAAUGAUCCUUCUGAUAUGUUUCCCCAGCUGCAGAAAAUAUAUUAAGCUGCUGCUGCUGCUUCCAGCAUAGGACCAUGGAUUGAAUUAUAAUGUGUGGCAUAUGGCAUGCCUGCCAGAAGCCACUGCAAUUAGAUAACUUACACUGGAUUAGAAAUAAAAAUGAUAAAGAAAAGUCA
rnacentral:lncRNA from 1 species